rnacentral:rRNA from 1 species
GAUGAACGCUGGCGGCGUGCCUAAUACAUGCAAGUCGAGCGAACGGACGAGAAGCUUGCUUUUCUGAUGUUAGCGGCGGACGGGUGAGUAACACGUGGAUAACCUACCUAUAAGACUGGGAUAACUUCGGGAAACCGGAGCUAAUACCGGAUAAUAUUUUGAACCGCAUGGUUCAUAAGUGAAAGACGGUCUUGCUGUCACUUAUAGAUGGAUCCGCGCUGCAUUAGCUAGUUGGUAAGGUAACGGCUUACCAAGGCAACGAUGCAUAGCCGACCUGAGAGGGUGAUCGGCCACACUGGAACUGAGACACGGUCCAGACUCCUACGGGAGGCAGCAGUAGGGAAUCUUCCGCAAUGGGCGAAAGCCUGACGGAGCAACGCCGCGUGAGUGAUGAAGGUCUUCGGAUCGUAAAACUCUGUUAUUAGGGAAGAACAUAUGUGUAAGUAACUGUGCACAUCUUGACGGUACCUUAUCAGAAAGCCACGGCUAACUACGUG